GCGUGAGUGAUGAAGGCCCUAGGGUUGUAAAGCUCUUUCAACGGUGAAGAUAAUGACGGUAGCCGUAGAAGAAGCCCCGGCUAACUUCGUGCCAGCAGCCGCGGUAAUACGAAGGGGGCUAGCGUUGUUCGGAAUUACUGGGCGUAAAGCGCACGUAGGCGGAUUGAUCAGUUGGGGGUGAAAUCCCAGGGCUUAACCCUGGAACUGCCUUCAAUACUGUCUGUCUAGAGGUCGAGAGAGGUGAGUGGAAUUCCGAGUGUAGAGGUGAAAUUCGU
rnacentral:rRNA from 1 species